AUAUAAAAAAAAAACUAAAACUGGCCUACAGAAAAAGAAAAGCCCACGAUGGUACCCACCCCACCCAAUACAAUACAUAUUCAUUUUUCCUAUUCUAAAAAGUUAAUAAAUUAAAACCUAUUCCCAUCACCCUGUGCGUGACAUCUCUCCCCUCUCUUUCAAUUUCUUUUCUUUUUCUCCCCUCUGUACAGAACGCAUGGCCUCCUCUCUUUUCUAUUGUUCCACUUCCAUUCUUCAUAGAAAUCAAAUCUAAGAUUUCUUCAUAACCCACAAACUCUUGAAGAUAAAUUUACUCUUACAAACGUGGAAGCCACUGUGUGGAAGCAAUUGAAUUAAUUUUGAAAGUUAGGGUUUGUGCUCUAAGGAAGAGAAGAGUAGCACCCCUUCAGAUUUGCUCUUUGGAUGUUAUUGAGAUUCGACGGCGAGUGGAUCGUUCGAUGGUCGUAGGAUUGCUAAAAACAAUUGUGGUUAUUCUUCAUAGUUUGGAAGUAAUCAACACAAGGAAGAAAUAAAGACUGCAACAGACUCGACUUUGAGGAAUGCAGAGAUAGCAGAUUCUGCAAAUUUUGUAGAUGAGGGUUAACUUAGGAAGCAGCGCAAUGAAGAACAGAAAGCGGCGUCUUAUUUUGAAUUCUCGGAAAAUUCGUCAAAGACCAAUCUCUCUAUGCAGCUAGGAGUGGAACCUUUCAGUAUCAAGUAUGUUGACAAGUUCAUCAAAAGAAACACAGGAAAUUACAUCAUGGCUUUUUGUCUUUCUCCUGAGAGUUGAGAAAGCUCCUUGCCCUGCAUGAUCAUUUUUGUCGGCAACAAUCCCAGUUCACUUUGGAAGCAAUUUCAGAUUUUUCAUCAUCCUGGAAUAAAUUGUGCAGAUGUGAAUGCUCAUUGUCAACAUUAAUCUGGCUUCUUGAGUUCUUGGACCCUUAAUUGACAAGUCUCAAGUUUUUCCAAGUUUCAGAGAAAAAGAUAGAUGUAAUAUGUUCUUUAGGUUUCAUUAUUUACAUCCAUAUUAAGCAAAGGUCUUUGUUGAUGGCUUGGCCUCGAUUUCAAGGCACCUCCACAGAUCUUUGGUUUAUUUGCUGGUUUGUUCCUCUUCUAUUUAACACUUUUAGAUAGUAAGAAACUUUUUUAAUACUUUGAAAGUGAUAUAAUUUGUUCUCUAAGCUCUGAAUCCCUAAGAGCCCCCGCCUAAAAAAAUAAAUUGAAGUGACUCCUAAAAUUCAUGAAACCCAAUCAAAACUAAAAGAUGCAUGGAUGUGGCAACUCCUUCUCUAUUCCUUCUCCUAAACUUAAGACCAUAGGCCAUAGCAAAUCAGAUUACUCAGUACAUUUUAUCUAUUGCGACUUUUUCCAUACGUAUUGACUAUUGAGGGGUUAUGCAAGCUUAAAAUAAUAGUCAGUAGUUUACCAAAGAGGUAGGAAAUCUUAAAAUGUAACAAUUGUGUUCUAACAGCGCAUUGGCCAAUUUUUGGUAGGAAUAGGAUCAUGAUUUUCACCUUUGCAAUACAUAUAGGCAAGCUAAAUCAUUUGCUGAUUUCAUAAGAACUAAGAAAAGAUGGGAAGUGAAAGUAGUGAGGUAGAUUUUGGAGAGAUGGGGUCUUCAUAAGUAAGGAAUGAUGAAGGAAAAACAACUAAAUCUGAGGCCGAGACAGUGGUUUGUGCAUUCACAUGAUUCAUUUUCAUAUUCACACAAUCAUGCCAAAAGAAUAACUAACAAUUUUCAGAGCAAGAAGCCAAGAAAACAAGGAAUAUAGAAUAUUGAGGUUAGGUAACUUCAUCCAACUUGACACUUGAUGCUAAUAUAGGUAGAUACUCAGAUAUACUCUUUCUGUUAAUUCAUUGUAUUGUAUGUUGAGGUUCGGCAGACCAAUAAAAUAUUAUGUUAAACUCUAGGCAUAUGCAUUAGUGUUCAAUAUAUUAUUUAAUCUAUUGGUUUUUUCUUAAGAGGUUGUAUAGCUAGGAUCUAUGUACUCGAACCUAUAAUUCUUUCCCAAUCGUUAUGGAAUCAAAGAAGGCACAAUUGUUAAGAAGGUUAAAAAGAGCAAAGGGUUGAAGAGUGUGAAGCUUUUGCCGAAAAUAGCAGCGCACAGGUGCUGAAAAAAUUGUCAAAUGUACCGUCCAAAGUUUGUGCAGCAAAAGAUGUGAGGGAUUUCUAUAAUUUGUUGGCUAAAUGAUUUGUCAAUCAAGAUCAUGGUGGAAGAAUGGAUAUUAGAUGUGGCAGACAUGUGAAAUAAUGAUGAAAAGUUUGAAAUGAUGUGGUCACCUUUUGCUUGAUAAUCUACUAUACUAGCUCUUUAAAGUUUUAAUCCCAAAAUUGUUUCCAUAUUAUUGAGAAGAAUGAAUUUAAGGCUGGCUCUAUUAUUA